AAGCAAGCGGCACCAUGAAGACCAAGGAGCUCUCCAAACAGAAAUCCAAGGACUCCGGCAGGAAAACAAAUUUCUGACGCACUGAGAGAAGAAGUUAAGGUGCUAAGGUGUGGGCAAGGACGUCCGGGUGGUAUCGGAUCACUGAGUGAAGAGGUGGUGCAGGUUGCUACCAUGCUAAGGACAUUUGCUGCUACUGGGCAAUCAGAUCCAAUAUAACACUUUUGCUGCGGCAUAUGGGAACAGUGGAUGAUCGAACUCUUGAGAUGGAUAACAAGAUGAAUACCUUGUUAGCCUAUCAACAGGCCAAUGGGAGCCAUUCAGCAGAACACUGAAAUCCAGGAUGCCAUGGACAAAGUGGUCCAGAUUCAAGUCACCCGUUACCUGAAAGGGGCCUCCGAUCAUGAAGGUGAGAGAAGACGGCGCACAGGGUGGAGAAAUUUGCUCCAGUGCGGGUCAACAUCAAGUCUGCCCUUAUUUUGAAGAUGUCAUCCAGAAACAGGUGUUUUAUACAACAUCCUUCUGUGUUCUCUUUAGGACUCUCUCUACAUUUGGCAAUCAUCUCUCUGCUUCCAAUUGUAUAAAAAAAGCCACAUGGCAGACCAAUCUGAACUCAUUUCUCGGCAUGUCCAGCUCAUCCAACACCUCAGCUAAUCAUGACUAGUGGGAAGGUUCCUGUAUUUUUCUAUGCUCGUAAUUUAGCAAUUGUGUUCAAAAUAUGCAUUUUGAUAAAACAAUAAAGAAAAUGAAUGCCUCACAUGUAGUAGUGAGGUUUGACAUUCAAACGGGUUUUAUUUU
ensembl:lncRNA